UUUCGCAAUGCCCGAAAGGGUGACGAAGCGACGCCGCGUGCGGGAGGAAGGCCUUCGGGUUGUAAACCGCUGUCGGGAGUUAAGAAAUGCAAGGAUGUUAAUAGCGUUCUUGCUUGACUAAGGCUCCGGAGGAAGCCACGGCUAACUCUGUGCCAGCAGCCGCGGUAAUACAGAGGCGGCAAGCGUUGUUCGGAAUUAUUGGGCGUAAAGAGCACGUAGGCGGCUAUGUAAGUCGGUUGUGAAGGCCUUCCGCUCAACGGAAGAACUGCAUCCGAUACUGCAUAGCUUGAGUGCGGGAGGGGAGAGUGGAACUUCUGGUGGAGCGGUGAAAUGCGUAGAUAUCAGAAGGAACGCCGGCGGCGAAAGCGACUCUCUGGCCCGCAACUGACGCUGAGUGUGCGAAAGCUAGGGGAGCAAACGGGAUUAGAUACCCCGGUAGUCCUAGCCGUAAACGAUGGGCACUAAGUAGAGGGGUUUU
rnacentral:rRNA from 1 species